GGACUCCUGUGAUGUCCAGCACUGGGCUCUGACCACCGUGAGGACAUGGUGCCCCCCCCCAGGGACCUUUGACACCCGGGGGUCUGAGGGGUCC
ensembl:snoRNA small nucleolar RNA SNORD88